CGGGGCGUAGCGCAGCCUGGUAGCGCACUUGCAUGGGGUGCAAGGGGUCGCGAGUUCGAAUCCCGCCGCUCCGA
rnacentral:tRNA from 1 species